UUGUGUUCAUUAGGUUUGUUUUAAUCUAAUUGAGUCCAGAUUAUUCCAGUAAAGCCUUCCAGGUGGUUUUAACUGUAUAUAUCCCAGACUUUUUAAAUACCCAGCAUUCAUUUACAUAAAGCUGCAUUAGUGUCGCUCACGCAGUCCUCCUUUAAUAGCUUUCAUACAGUUUUAUGGAUAACCGAGAUAAACCAAAACUCUGUUCUUUUGAAUGAAACAAAGUUUCAAAUCAGAGAUUUCCUAUGAGGAUAAGACUCAAAGGUGCUAAACUGAAGAAGCCACAACACAGCUAAACAUUCACAGACAACUUUAUUUUUGAUUGAAAUUAUUUCACAUCAUAGUCGUUAUUCUUCCUGUCAAAGAUGUUUGUAUUCUUAUUACAACAGCCACAGAGCAGCAGCAGCAGCAAUAAUCAGAAUUAUAUAAUAACAACCCAGCAGGAGAAGCAGAUCAAUGCGACUGGACGACUGGAAAAGAGAGAACCACUGAGCACCUCGCGCGGCUCUCCUGAUCUGGACUUCAUUAAGGUGGAUUUGAAGAGGGGGGGGGGUAAUUGUUGCAGGUGUUAAUGAAGCCUCAGUCCUGGGACAGGCCUCGGCGGCUCAGGUGUGGGAGAAACAACACAACGUUGGCCCGUCAACGCUAAUGAGAGGGCCAGCCAAAAACAACUCCAGGGCUUCAAUCAACAACAGCCGACUCCCGGAGGGAGGCGGGAAGGAGACGCGGUGAUGUAGUUCACCUGCGUCAGCAGCAGGAUCCCAACAGAAACAUGGCAGCGUCCUCUGAGACGCUGACAACAACAGGAUGGAAGGGUGGAGAUGAUGAGCAGAGGAGCCUGAUGGAUGGAUUCGUCCUGCAGAGGAGAGCUCAGAGCCAUGUCCACCAGCGCUCGGAUCUCCUUCAGAACCACGUCCCAGCGGCUCGGGUUGUUCAGGACCUUACGGUACUUGUAGAUCUUUUUCUGCAGGAGACACAGCGAGGUGAUCAUCAGCUCAUCACUUCUAGAGUCGGAUUCGGUUUCAGAACAUUUUACUCCAUGAGUAACCAUUCAUUGUGUUUUUUUGGGGGAAAAAAACGCAGUUCUGUUUCUAAUUUAAGAACGUUAAUUUAUAACACCUGUUCAAGUAUGAAUCAAUACCAAAAAUAUCGAUUUUAACUGGGUGAACCAAGUUAUUUAAACAAGAGCUUUUAAAAUUAGGUGUCAAUGGUUUGGUGUUCCGCUAGGUUCUAUGAUUGGACACCUUGAUUUUUUUUUUUUUUUCUUCUUCUUCAACUCGGACAGAUUCCUGUCAGUUUUUGAUCACGGUAGGUUCUCUGUCGGGUCAAACCUGAAAAAUGUAGACGAUUUGUUUGACCUUUCACUCUCCCGACACUCCUCUUUUGUUUUAGAAUUAUUUUUAAAGAUGCGAUACAAGUUUUUAAGGGUCCGGAUGGAGGAGCUCAUCUGUAUCUUUCAGAUACAGGUGGUGUUGAUGUUACAACAACACAGUCUUAAGUCUAAAUGCUAAUGUUCUCUAAUGUUUUGUGCAUUUUCAUGAAACAGAACCCAUCAUCUGCUGCUCUUCAAACCAUUCACGUUUUUUUGUGUAUUCUAAAGGGUUGUACUGAUAAGCUGUGAUAAAGCAAUCAAUGUUUUGU
rnacentral:lncRNA from 1 species